CAUCCCUGAGUUGCUCGUGCGUACGAUCCGUUUUCUUUGAGUCGCGUUGUUUGGGAAUGCAGCGCAAAGUAGGUGGUAAACUCCAUCAAAAGCCGAAUAUUGGUGCGAGACCGAUAGCGAACAAGUACCGUGAGGGAAAGAUGAAAGUAACUUUGAAAAGAGAGUUAAGGAGUACCUGAAACUGCUGAAAGGGAACCGAAUCGUUUACAGUGUCUAUAAUCCGCGGUAUAUUGCAUUGGCGAGUGUGUACAUACGUGUGCUGUGACAGCGGCUUUUUUGGCUGCGCUCGGCGUGUGUGCUGUGUGUACUUGCUGGUGCCCUGUGCUGCGGUGGUACGCCAAGGUC